rnacentral:rRNA from 1 species
GAUGAACGCUGACAGAAUGCUUAACACAUGCAAGUCCACUUGAAUUUGGGUUUUUAACUUAGGUUUGGGUGGCGGACGGGUGAGUAACGCGUAAAGAACUUGCCUCACAGCUAGGGACAACAUUUGGAAACGAAUGCUAAUACCUAAUAUUAUGAUAAUAGGGCAUCCUAUAAUUAUGAAAGCUAUAAGCGCUGUGAGAGAGCUUUGCGUCCCAUUAGCUAGUUGGAGAGGUAACGGCUCACCAAGGCGAUGAUGGGUAGCCGGCCUGAGAGGGUGAUCGGCCAAAAGGGGACUGAGACACGGCCCUUACUCCUACGGGAGGCAGCAGUGGGGAAUAUUGGACAAUGGACCGAGAGUCUGAUCCAGCAAUUCUGUGUGCACGAUGAAGUUUUUCGGAAUGUAAAGUGCUUUCAGUUGGGAAGAAACAAAUGACGGUACCAACAGAAGAAGUGACGGCUAAAUACGUG